CUCAGCCAAGGACCUAACUCUCAGGCUAACAUUCCUCCUCAUGUACACAGCAGGAAGACCAAAAUGGUUCACCCUAGAUCUGGUGGACAUGCCGAUCAUAGGGUUGGCCAGGAUUGAUUGCAUAGCAGAAGAUGAGGCAGCCAUAGAUAACUUGGUUUAGUGACAAAGUUCAAAAAUUUCACACAAUGCUAGACCCGAUGACUGAGAAUAAAGAUGCUUUUCUUGCCACCCAACAACUUAAAAUUUAUGAAUAUAACUUGAUAAACCAAGCUUCACUACUCUCAC
rnacentral:lncRNA from 1 species